rnacentral:misc_RNA from 1 species
UUAUUGAAAUACCUACCAUGUUAGUUGAUGGCUUAUACUGGUCCUGAGACCUGUUUUAUAGUUGUGUUGUGCAUCAAAAAGAGUUUGUUGAAUUUUUAGUCAAAUAAGCCAAAUUACUAUUUUCGGUUCUAGUUUAUGCUCUGUAAUAUAAGGCAUUAUGGUGUCGUUACCUCUGUACUUUCUCUUUUCUUUUAAAAAUUCUUAAAUGCCCUAAUAGUCGAUGUGAUAUUGAUAUGUG